rnacentral:misc_RNA from 1 species
GCCCUGAUGAUCAUCAGAAGAAGAAUUUCUAUGACUGGUCAAUUUCACAAGGAAAAAUACAAUAUAGAUGCCUUGGGAGGAACAAUUAAGCAACACUUAUUACAUUACAUGAAUUCUUAGCUGGCUAAGGAUAUAAAAUGAAAGCAGGAAAAUUGAAGUGGAAACAAUUAUGCAACCCAUAUUAUAUUACGGCCAUUGCUUAUCCAGUGGUUGAUUGGCUUAAUAUAUGGCAACAGCAUAAAAAGGGUUAUUUCAAUUCAAUAUACCUAUUCUCAUCCAGUCCUAAAAAGUGAAACAGUAAAUUUUCUCAAUCAACUUUGGGCAUUGCAUAUGGAUGGAAACAACAAUU